CCUACGGGUGGCAGCAGUGGGGAAUAUUGCACAAUGGGCGAAAGCCUGAUGCAGCAACGCCGCGUGAGCGAUGAAGGCUUUCGGGUCGUAAAGCUCUGUCCUCAAGGAAGAUAAUGACGGUACUAGAGGAGGAAGCCCCGGCUAACUACGUGCUAGCAGCCGCGGUAAUACGUAGGGGGCUAGCGUUAUCCGGCAUUACUGGGGGAAAUGGGGGGGGUGGUGGUUAUUAAAGUCAGUGGGAAAAGAAUACGUCUCAACCGUAGUAAGCCUUUGAAACUGGGGAACUUGAGUGCAGGAGAGGAAAGUGGAAUUCCUAGUGUAGCGGUGAAAUGCGUAGAUAUUAGGAGGAACACCAGUGGCGAAGGCGGCUCUCUGGACUGUAACUGACACUGAGGCACGAAAGCGUGGGGAGCAAACAGGAUUAGAUACCCGUGUAGUC
rnacentral:rRNA from 1 species